rnacentral:rRNA from 1 species
UACGUAGGCAGCAAGCGUUGUUCGGAAUUAUUGGGCGUAAAGGGUGCGUAGGCGGUUUGGUAAGUCUGAUGUGAAAUCUAUGGGCUCAACUCAUAGUCUGCAUCGGAAACUGCCGGGCUUGAGUGUGGGAGAGGUGAGUGGAAUUCCUGGUGUAGCGGUGAAAUGCGUAGAUAUCGGGAGGAACACCAGUGGCGAAGGCGAUCACCUGGGGUUGUUCUGACGCUGAGGAGCGAAAGCUAGGGGAGCAAACGGG